GGGGGGGACUAAUUUCCGAGAGAUAGUGUCAUGUCUUAGACAACCUAAUGUGUGCAAAUGCAGCUACUAAAAUGAAACGAUCAUUUGUUGGGUGAAAUUUAACCUUUAGCCUAAAUUUAGCCUUGGGUAGUCCAUAGAAAGGUCUUUCACACGAGUAAGAUCUUUACUCCAAGAACGAUCUUAUCUUUCAAAGAAAAAAAAAAAGUAUCCAAAAACACUGUUCAUCUUUUGUCCAGUGUCAUGGAUCAUGAAUGGCCGGUUUGAAUAACUGUAAUGGCCAAUACAGACUAAAAUCUAUAUGGCUGAGUCUAUAGAACCAUCACUCUUAAAGCAGUUAUCCAACUUUAGUACUUACCUGCCAAGCAGUAACAGAAAUGCUUGGGAAGGAUAUGUGAAUGUCUUAUGGCUAAAUGGCUGUGUUGUGAGUCUGCCAUAAGGCUGAUACUUUUUUUUUUGUGUGAAAUGGCUAGUUCCUGUUUGUGAUUCCUCCCUCCAACUACAAUCCCCAGGAUCCUUUGUUUGUAAGUGUGAGGUCACUUUUCUUCCCACACAUUAGCCACCCCACCCAUUGCAGCAUAGUUAUACUCCCUUCCAUGAGUGCUGUGCUUGAAACGACAAUUCCCUGCAGCCCUGUGGAGACUGAUCUCCCUCCAGCCCUUUCAACACCUGACUAGUGAUGUAAUGUCUCGGGCCACACUGAACCUGUGAAAACACCAUUUAUUUUGAAUGCUGCUAAAAAUGAACAUCGGAAUAUCCCUUUACGAGGAUUGUUCUUCAACAAUUGUUGAACAAUCAACUGAUGAUGGACCUUUCAGUGAGGUCCGAUGAAACACUAAGACUUGUGAAAUGGCUGUUGCCUCCUAUUCAGCUGUUUACCCCUACUGUUCUUCGUCUCCCCUCUGUUAACAUGUGAGUAUUUGUCUCAAUAAAGAAAAAACAAACACUGUGUAUGGAGAGUGCCACUAUUUUAUUUCUACAUGGAAUAUGUAGCCUCAGCAGGAAUAUCUUCACUGUAUAUCUCACCACAAUUUCAUGGCAGAUGCACAGCAAAAUCCCUAUUUUCUUAUUUUGUGAAGUAAGUAAAUUGACCAGUAUGUUAGGGACAAACCCCAUAACAAUGAUGUGAAGAGUAUAAAUACGCUGAAGAUCUUGCUCUUAGUCGGACUGAAACAAAGGAUCCCAAAGCUGAUAUUCAACAAAGCUAACCACUGAGGAUUUCUACCUCAAGAUAUCAAAGGCUUUUGCAAUCCAGAAAACCAGUCGGCACGGCACACAGCAGCGUAGAAAUCUUCGGUUACACGGAGUCUUAAAAAGUCAAUUUAACUGAUUUUAUAGCUCGCUCUGAGUGCAAAGAUGAAGCAGCUCCGGCAGGAUGUCCUAUAGAGCCACGUGAAGGUUUUAUGGGAGAGGCAGGCUCCGAAUAACAACCCUUCUCCGGGUUCUUCACACUGAUCAAAUUAAAAGAAGGAUACAACCUGCUAGAAAUGCUUACAGAAAAGCUGCCCCGUUCGGAGGCCUGAGCACUGCGCAUUUGGCCCACCGGCAAGGAUUACGUGAGAUGUGUGAAAGAAAAGUGCCGACGCCGGUCGAAAGUUCAUCGCGAUCAGAAACAAAACUUUAUUACAGAGUGAAUGCAGCCAAGUCGUCUACUUCUCAGGAAUGAAACACAGUGGUUCCCAACCAAGGUGCCUCCCAGCUGUUACAAAAGUACAACUUCCAGGCAUGCUUGAAGUUGUAGUUUUGCAACAUCCCUGGUUGGAAAACCUGUCCUAACCGAUGGUCACAGUAAUUAAACACCAAAAAUGUUUUUGUGUUUUUCCGUUUCUUCCAUUCAAGAUUACACAACAACAGGCCAAAAGAGCCCAGAAAGAUACCAAAAACUGCUGAUCACAAUGUAUACGAAUGUUAGGACAUCAUGAGGUCGGCUGUAAUCUGUGGCAGGAAUCAGGUGGCAAGUGUAUAAUUCCCUUAAAGUAACCCCGCAGGAGAAAUGAAGUAUAACAAAGUUCCCAUUGAACGCCAUGUAAUGUACAUACGUUUUAAGAUCAGGUUAUGUCAAUCUCAAAAGUUUUAAAUGCCCAGACUCAUCUGACCUUGCCCCAACAAUCAGCACCAUGGGUUCUUCUAAGCAGUUGUCUAGAAAUCUGAAACUGAAAAUAGUUGACGCUCACAAAGCUGGAGAAGGCUAUAAGAAGAUAGCAAAUCAUUUUCAGAUGUCAACAUCCUCUGUUCGGAAUGUAAUUAAGAAAUGGCAGUCAUCAGGAACAGUGGAAGUUAAAGCAAGAUCUGGAAGACCAAG